CAACUACAGUCGGGUCCAACUGCAGGAUGAUAUUCAUACACAAGUUGAUAUAGCCACUAAUGUGGGCAUGCAAGGUGAUGCUUCUUUCAAUGAACAUGAAUAUUCAUUACCAUCAACUAGCCAAACAGCUGUUUCUAACUACCAGAGUAAAGAUGAUCAAUCUUCACUGGUUGCAAGCCAAACACUACAGACUUCAGAAUUGCUGGAUAGUGGU